rnacentral:rRNA from 1 species
CAGUCGCCACGGUAAUACGUAGGUGGCAAGCGUUGUCCGGAAUUAUUGGGCGUAAAGGGCUCGCAGGCGGUUUCUUAAGUCUGAUGUGAAAGCCCCCGGCUCAACCGGGGAGGGUCAUUGGAAACUGGGAAACUUGAGUGCAGAAGAGGAGAGUGGAAUUCCACGUGCAGCGGUGAAAUGCGUAGAGAUGUGGAGGAACACCAGUGGCGAAGGCGACUCUCUGGUCUGUAACUGACGCUGAGAGACGAAAGCGUGGGGAGCGAACAGGAUUAGAUACCCCUGUAGUCCCUGUCUCUUAUAC